rnacentral:tRNA from 1 species
AUAAAAGUAGUGAAUAUCACAUCAUUAUUUCAUAAUGAAAAUGAAAGGUUUUUAGUCUUCUUUAUC